UACGGAGGGCGCGAGCGUUAAUCGGAAUUACUGGGCGUAAAGAGUGCGCAGGCGGGCUUGUAAGUCAGAUGUGAAAUCCUGUAGCUUAACUACAGAACUGCAUUUGAAACUAUGAGUCUAGAGUGUGGGAGAGGUAGGUGGAAUUCUUGGUGUAGGGGUAAAAUCCGUAGAGAUCAAGAGGAAUACUCAUUGCGAAGGCGACCUGCUAGAACAUAACUGACGCUGAUGCGCGAAAGCGUGGGGAGCAAACAGG
rnacentral:rRNA from 1 species